rnacentral:piRNA from 1 species
UCACAAAAACCCACAGGUCCUUCUACUGU